rnacentral:lncRNA from 1 species
AAAUCCCUAACCCUUAAUCCCAAAUCCUCUCCUCUCGAUGGGCGGCGGCAGCGUGAGCGAGAGGUCCUUCUCCGGCGCCGGUGGCAGCCGUCGGCCCUCCCCUCACCCUCAGCAAGGUUGUGUGCCGCACUUACGGCUCAGCGGCUCGAGGUUGUGCACGGCAUGCACACACGGCGCCGGCGGCUCGAGGUUGUCCGCCGCACGCACACACGGCGCCGACGGCUAGGAGCAGCGCCUUGAGGUUGUGUGCGGCAAGCACGCACGGCGCCCGAGGACUGGAGACCGGGUGCGUGACCCUCGUGCACUGCGGGAAUGGGCGUGCUGGAGGGUCUCAGGCAUGUGCUUUGGGCGACGGCGGCUCUGAUGUGAUUGAAGAAUUUCUGUAGUUGAUCAUUCAGUUGUUGCCUUCUCAAAACUAGUACUUGAUGGUCUGCUGUGACACUGAAGAUCAGUGGUUGAUGUACAUAAAAAAUUCAGAAUAUUUGUUGUGGCACUCAAGAUUAGUACUAGUUGAUCGUUUGCCGGUGGCAAAUGUCUAUUUAUUUUCUGUGCUCUGUUGAUGAACCGGCAUGUCAUGCAAUGUAAUGUUAGCUUGAGCCGGAAUGCUAUGCAAUGUAAGGCUUAUGAAUAUUCUGAAUGGUAUGCAAUGUUAGUCUGUUUGGUAUUUCCUGGAUUAACUUCUUUAAAUUAUGAGUGAUCUUUUGUAGCUUAUGAAUGCUGGUAGUUCAAAUGUAAAGUAAAAGUCAGACAACAAUUGCUUUGAGCAAACCUUUCAAUUUGUUUUAUUGACUACCAUAAGAAAUCGGCAUGCCUGACUAGAACAACACAGACCAUUUCAGAACAUGCUCUGUACCAAUGAUGUACCAAUUUAGCACCAGUUCGAUUCAUGAUCUGUACCAAUUUAGCAUCAGUUCAGUACAAGCUUUGUAAUUUUGACCACUGACCAAGCUGUAAUGACACAUGAUACACUGGAGAAGAACAGAACAGAACAUGUUCUUGAACAUAUCAUACAUGUUUUGCAUACAUGACAAAAAGACAAUAGUUUGCAGUACUGAAGACAUCAUUUUGUAAACUUAAGGUUCAUCACAUGACCAUAUACCAUACAUGCAUGGAAGCAAAUAAAAGAUAGUGCAACUAGUUAAGAAAAGACACCACACAUCAUUUCACAUGCUCAUCUCUCCUCCCUAAAUACAUCAAACAUGCUUGUUUUCCUUGGUUUCUUAAAACCAGUUCUUAGCUGACUGAAAUAUGGUCUUUUUGGCUGAUGUGUUUGCUUCAAAGUGCUUUCCUUUCCCUGGCAUGCUGAUGUGUCAUGCAUGGCUUGUCGAUUUGUCUCCUCAGCUUGUCUAUUGUUCCAUUCUUCUACAUGUUGAUUUCUCUCUCCCCAAUUUUGUACGAUGGAUGUGCCUUGCAUUUGAACUUGACCCUCCCAGGCCUGCUGCCUUGAGUGAUCCUCUCUCUCAUGAAAACCUCUUAUCCUUUCUUGCUCGUCUGCCUGGAACAUUAAAAAUUCCAUUUCUUCUUCUCUUAGAGCAGCUUCAGUUUGUUGUCUCUUCUCGUCGGCAAUUCUCUUCUUUUAUGCAGCCCUCUUAGUUUUUGCUUCCUCUGCUUCUUUCUUUCUAGCUUACAGUGCAUUCCUUUUGGCAUCUGCAAGUGCUUUUUUCUCCUGUUGUGCAGCUAAUUUUAUUCUUUUCCUUUCUUCAAUUUGUUUUCUUUUUUCUUCGGCUGCCAACUAUUUCUCUCUCAAUAUAGCUUUCUUAUUCUCCUCUAGCUCUAGCUUUUUUGCUGCAGCCACUUCUCUCCUUUUCUCUGCAGCUUGCAAAAUCUUUUGCUCUUCUUCUCUUAUCUUGGCCAUAGCUGCUUCAAACUUUGCUUUGUCUGCAACCUCUCUUUUUUCAGUUGCUGCUUUUAUUUUUGCCAGAGCUAGAACCUCUCUUUUUCUAUGAACAUUGCCCUCUUUUGUUACAGUUGUUGGCUGCACAAGGGGGUGGCUUGGGACAUUUUCUUCAAUAAAUGAAGAUAAUGGUAAAGGUCCCGCGUCAGGUGGAUCCAUGGUCUGGCUUGCAACACUCUAACAGAAAAACAAAUGCGAUUUUCGUUACAUGGGAGUGAAAAAAUGAAAUAGCAAGUGCAUGACAUGGCAGUAAGGAAGAAUGAAACAAUAUGUGCAUGACAAUGUGAAAGUAAUUGUACCUCUUCCAGUAAGGUACUAAUGACCUCAACCUCAUAAUUAGGUGCUUCUUGCUGAGAAAAACCCAUAGUUUGCAUGUUCUCCUCCUACUCAUGCACAUUUGAAUAAAUAGGUAAAUCUUUUGCUCAUGUACAGAAAUUCACAUAAAUAGAAAAAUGUUUUGCUCAUGUAAAUUACCUGUGCCAUGGCCACAUAUUCUUCAUCUGAGGAGGAAAUAUCAGGCUCUGCCCUUACUUUCUUCUUUGCUAAUUUCCUCUUCGGUUUCAACCCCAAUUUAAAAUCGUUGCAUCCACCUAUGUUAUAUCCUGCAAGUCCACAAUAACUGCAAUGCAUAAUAGCUCCACCUCUGCCAACUUUCCUCCCUGCCCUACCCUCUUUCUCUUCAGGUUGUUGCCUUCUAUUCUUUCUCCUCCUGCCUUUCUUUGUUUUAAUUUUGGGAGGAAGCACUUCUCUUCCAUACAUUUUCUGCCACUCACUUGCGUCUUUACAUGUCAAUAUUAUGUGCUCAUAGGCCUUGCGGUAAGUCUCAAUAGAGUAACAUUGGUGGACCAUUGAUUCCGGUGGAAUUGUUCAUGUCUCAGAGCUGCCGCUCCAUGACAACAAGGAAUUCCAGUUAAAUCCCACCGUCUGCAACUGCAUUUCCUCAACCUGAUGUCCACACUGAACUGCCUAUUUCUGUCUUGCACUUCACCCAGACCAGCAGGAUCUGCAUGGCAAGUGUUUGCAGCAUCAAUAUGCCUUUGCAAUCUUUUCCUGAUUUUAGGACAUAUGGUUCCAGGCCAAGUUUCUGACUCCAUCUUCUUACCAUAGAUUCUGCCCAUCAAUUGCCCUUUAACCCUCUGAAUCAUGCUCAAAAGAGGGAGUUCUCUUGCUUCUAAAAUAUAUUUAUUGAACACUUCACAAUUAUUGUUCAAUAACACAUCACACUUGAGGAAAUCACUUUGAAAUCCCGUCACCCAUGUUUUAGGGUCUAAUUCCUCUAACCAAUCAUGAGCAUCUUUAUUAAGAACUAGCAUUCUAUCCAUGUUCUCUCUCCACUGACCAUGAUUUGCACUUCUAGCACAUCUCCAUAAUUGGUUUUUCAAUAUUUCUCCUUUAGAAGUUUUAGUGAAAUUCUGCCAUAUGUGUCUCACACAAUACCUAUGCUCGGAAUCGCUGAAAUGUUCUCUAACAACCUCAAUUAAACCAUGUAGGUAGUGUCAUAUAAAAGAACAAAUGUUCAUAAUCAUUGUCAUAUAUAAAAAAACAUUCAUAAGCAUUAUUAACACAACUACUUACCUUCUGCUUGUCAGACAUGACCGUCCAACGUGAGGUGUUGACAAUGCCAAGGUCUUCUUUUAGAAUACUCAAGAACCAUCUCCAAGAUUUUGUGUUCUCAAUUUCCACAAUAGCGAAGGCCACGUGAUAGAUACAGUCGUUAGGAUCCAUUCCUAUUGCAGUCAACAUAAUGCCUCCAAAUUGUGUUUUCAAGUGACAUCCAUCUAAGAAAAUAACAGGCCUGCAAGCUAAAAGAAAUCCCCUCUUGCAUGCAUCAAAUGAGAAAUAACACUUCUGGAAUUGGCCAUCAUCAGCAACUUGCAAAAAGAAUGAGCUGCCAGGAUUUGAUCUCCUUAACUCCGCUGCAUAAUCCCACAACAUAUUGUACUGUUUUAUGUCAUCUCCAUAGAUAAUGUUGAAUGCUAUUUUCCUUGCUCUCCAAAGCUUUUGCCUAUGAACCUUCAUGUUCCAUUCUUGCUGCACCAUCGAUCCUAAACCCUUCAGAGACAUCUUCUCAUCUGCUCUUAUCUUGUCAACAUAUUUGCUAGCUAUGUACUUGGCGGUGAAAGCUCUAACAUGCCACUUCUUACUGCAUGUGUGCUCAUCUUUAAAUGUUUUAACCAUUAUACCCUUUGUUCUAUUGUCAUAAGAAGCAUAUAAAUACCAUGGGCAUCCAUCAUUGCACUUUGCACCAAUCCUUGUUUUGUCAUUUUUGGGAAAUGUGAUUUGCAGUCUCUCCUUGCAACUAUACUCCCUAACUGCCUGUCUGACCAGUGCAACAGAUGAGAAAACCCGCCCCAGAUGAAACUUGGGCUCAUUCAAAUCCUCUUCAGUGAAAUGUUUGAAGUUGAACUUCAUUUCUUCGUCAUCUGAAUCUGGCAAUUCAAGACUAUCAUCUUCAGAAUUGGGCUCUUCUUCUAGCUGCUUCCCUUUUGUCCUUCCUUUCUUCUCAUCAUUACCAUCUACAUCUUCAACUUCAUCAUUCACCAAAUCAUCAUCACCAUCCUCCAGGCCAUAAUCACUGUCAACCAGCUCCGGGUCAUAAUCCGAAUCAUCUGAAUCUGAUUCACUGCUUAAUUCAACCUCCCCCUCUACUAUUCCUCUUCUUGUACUCCUGCUUGAUCCUUGUGCAUUGCUCUCACAUGCAUACAUCAUGUCAGAAGUGUUUUCCUGAACGACAACAAUGCUUUGCUCUAAAGUACUGUUAGUUGUUUUGCUCUUCGAUGGACUAAUCACUGGAGGAUUCGAUACGACGUCAUCCCAUCCUCCUCCACCUAAGAGCCAUCAUGAUCUAGAUAGAACAUAAGGUAUUUGUGCCCCUCCCUAACAAACUUCAUAAUGCAGUUCAUAUCAUUGUUCCUGGAUAUUAAUUUCAGUCCAUCCUCAUUUAUUUGCAUUCCGGGCAGCAGCAUCAAUAUGUCUAUUCUUCCUGCAGUCUCAUAACCCAGUACCUCUAUUAAUUCAUACAACAUAUCAAUGCAGGCGACACUGGCAUCACAGUAGUCAUAGCAGACCUUGCGACCAUUCAUAUAAGACCUAUUGUAUCCAGUGCCAAUGAAAACGCCUCCAUGGAUGAACUCAAUGGUGUAGAAAUCAGUGCCUUCUUCUGUAAAACGAAAAGGAAAACACCAAUUUUAGCAUCCGACAAAGAACCCUAAGAAUCUGCCUACACCAUAACUAAAAUUGUGCUGAAAGUUCCUAAUUGUACUAUAAUAACAUAUCUGGCGAAAACGAUCGACAUGGUCAUAAUACAACUAGCACUUACGAAGCAAAUGCUAGAGAAUAUGAUGGGUGGUUGAAUCUUACCGUACGUGGGCACAUGGCCGCCGCUGUGUCGUUCUACAGGCGACAUCGGCGCCCUUUAGCGACAGACGAUGAUCUUGUCGCCGCCUCGCAAAAUCCCUCGGGAACGACCGACUCUCGUAUCUGCGAUCACGUCGAUCACCAUCCACGGCCGCCAGCCAUGGUCGUCAUCGAGGAAUAACAGAGACAAGCGAAAAGUGCGAAGGGCUCGAACUGGAAACAAUACGCAAUCAGCGGGCCGGUUACACAAUUACACAGCGAAGCGUUUUGGUUGGACCCGCUCGAAGGAUGGCGUGGCACGCAUCUCAGCGCCCAACGUAUGAGGAAACUGUUGGGGAACGUAGUAAUUUCAAAAAAAUUCCUACGCACACGCAAGAUCAUGGUGAUGACAUAGCAACGAGAGGGGAGAGUGUUGUCUACGUACCCUCGUAGACCGUUAAGCGGAAGCGUUAUGACAACGCGGUUGAUGUAGUCGUACGUCUUCACGAGCCGACCGAUCCAAGCAUCGAACGUACGGCACCUCCGUGUUCAGCACACGUCCAGCUCGAUGACGUUCCCCGGGCUCCAAUCCAGUAAAGCGUCGGGGAUGAGUUCCGUCAGCACGACGGCGUGGUGACGAUGAUGAUGUUCUACCGGCGCAGGGCUUCGCCUAAACUCCACGACGAUACAACCGAGAUGGAAUAUGGUGGAGGGGGGCACCGCACAUGGCUAAGGAACGAUCCGUAGAUCAACUUGUGUUGUCCCUAGAGGUGCCCCCCUGCCCCCGUAUAUAAAGGAGCAAGGGGGGAGGGGGCGGCCGGCCUAGAAGGGACGCGCCAAGGAGAAGUACUACUCCCACCGGGAGUAGGACUCCCUCCUUUCCUAGUCCAACUAGGAGACCUUCCAUGUAGUAGGAGUAGGAGAGAAGGAAAGGGAAGAGAGAAGGGAAGGAAGGAGGGGGUGCGGCCCCACCCUAGUCCAAUUCGGACUAGGCCUUGGGGGGCGCGCGGCCUGCCCUAGGCAGCCCCUCUCUCUUUCCCGUAUGGCCCAAUAAGGCCCAAUACUUCUCCUGGCGAAUUCCCGUAACUCUCCGGUACUCCGAAAAAUACCCGAAUCACUCGGAAUCUUUCCGAACUCCGAAUAUAGUCGUCCAAUAUAUCGAUCUUUAUGUCUCGACCAUUUCGAGACUCCUCGUCAUGUCCCCGAUCUCAUCCGGGACUCCGAACUCCUUCGGUACAUCAAAACUCAUAAACUCAUAAUAUAACUGUCAUCGUAACGUUAAGCGUGCGGACCCUACGGGUUCGAGAACUAUGUAGACAUGACCUAGAACUAUUCUCGGUUAAUAACCAAUAGCGGAACCUGGAUGCCCAUAUUGGUUCCUACAUAUUCUACGAAGAUCUUUCGGUCAAACCGCAUAACAACAUACGUUGUUCCCUUUGUCAUCGGUAUGUUACUUGCCCGAGAUUCGAUCGUCGGUAUCCAAUACCUAGUUCAAUCUCGUUACCGGCAAGUCUCUUUACUCGUUCCGUAAUACAUCAUCCCACAACUAACUCAUUAGUUGCAAUGCUUGCAAGGCUUAAGUGAUGUGUAUUACCGAGAGGGCCCAGAGAUACCUCUCCGAUAAUCGGAGUGACAAAACCUAAUCUCGAAAUAUGCCAACCCAACAUGUACCUUCGGAGACACCUGUAGAGCACCUUUAUAAUCACCCAGUUACGUUGUGACGUUUGGUAGCACACAAAGUGUUCCUCUGGUAAACGGGAGUUGCAUAAUCUCAUAGUCACAGGAACAUGUAUAAGUCAUGAAGAAAGCAGUAGCAACAUACUAAACGAUCGUGUGCUAAGCUAACAGAAUGGGUCAAGUCAAUCACAUCAUUCUCCUAAUGAUGUGAUCCCGUUAAUCAAAUGACAACUCUUUUGUCCAUGGCUAGGAAACUUAACCAUCUUUGAUUCACGAGCUAGUAAAGUAGAGGCAUACUAGUGACACUAUGUUUGUCUAUGUAUUCACACAUGUAUUAUGUUUCCGGUUAAUACAAUUCUAGCAUGAAUAAUAAACAUUUAUCAUGAAAUAAGGAAAUAAAUAAUAACUUUAUUAUUGCCUCUAGGGCAUAUUUCCUUCAGUCUCCCACUUGCACUAGAGUCAAUAAUCUAGUUCACAUCACCAUGUGAUUUAACACCAAUAUUCACAUCUGUAUGUGAUUAAUACCCAUAGUUCACAUCGUCAUGUGAUCAAUGCCCAAAGGGUUUACUAGAGUCAAUAAUCUAGUUCACAUGGCUAUGUGAUUAACACCGAAAGAGUACUAAGGUAUGAUCAUGUUUUGCUCAUGAGAGAAGUUUAGUCAACGGGUCUGUCACAUUCAGAGCCGUAUGUAUUUUGCAAAUAUUCUAUGUCCACAAUGCUCUGCACGGAGCUACUCUAGCUAAUUGCUCCCACUUUUAAUAUGUAUCCAGAUUGAGACUUAGAGUCAUCUGGAUUGGUGUAAAAGCUUGCAUCAUUGUAACUUUUUACGACUGGCUCUUUUAUCACCUCCAUAAUUGAGAAACAUCUCCUUAGUCCUCACUAAGGAUAUUCUUGACCGCUGUUCUAGUGAUCUACUUUUAGAUCAAAAUUGUAUUCCUUUGCCAACCUCAGAGCAAGGUAUACAAUAGGUCUAGUACAGAGCAUAGCAUACUUUAUAGAACCUAUGACUGAGGCAUAGGGAAUGACUGUUCAUUCUUUUCUAUUUUCUGCCAUGGUCGGGUUUUGAGUCUUACUCAACUUCACACCUUGCAACACAGGCAAAAACUCUUUCUUUGACUGUUCCAUUUUGAACUACUUCAAAAACUUGUCAAGGUAUGUACUCAUUGAAAAAUCUUAUCAAGCGUCUUGAUCUAUCUCUAUAGAUCUUGAUGCUCAAUGUGUAAGCAGCUUCACCAAGGUCUUUCUUUGAAAAACUCCUUUCAAACACACCUUUAUGCUUUCCAGAAAAAUUCUACAUUAUUUCCGAUCAACAAUAUGUCAUUCACAUAUACUUAUCAGAAUGCUGUAGUGCUCCCACUCACUUUUUAUAAAUACAGGCUUCACCGCAAGUCUGUAUUAAAACUAUAUGCUUUGAUCAACUUAUCAAAGCGUAUAUUCCAACUCCGAGAUGCUUGCACCAGUCCAUUGAUGGAUCGCUGGAGCUUGCACAUUUUGUUAGCACCUUUCGGAUCGACAAAACCUUCUGGUUGCAUCAUAUACAACUCUUCUUUAAAAAACCCAUUAAGGAAUGCAGUUUUGACAUCCAUUUGCCAGAUUUCAUAAAAUGUGGCAAUUGCUAACAUGAUUCAGACAGACUUAAGCAUAGAUACGAGUGAAAACUCUCAUCGUAGUCAACACCUUGAACUUGUCGAAAAUCUUUUGCGACAAUUCUAGCUUUGUAGAUAGUAACACUAUCAGCGUCUGUAUUCCUCUUGAAGAUCCAUUUAAUCUCAAUGUCUCGCCGGUCAUUGGGCAAGUCAAUCAAAGUCCAUACUUUGUUUUCAUACAUGGAUCUUAUCUCAGAUCUCAUGGCCUCAAGCCAUUUUGCGGAAUCUGGGCUCACCAUCGCUUCUUCAUAGUUCGUAGGUUUGUCAUGGUCUAGUAACAUAACUUCCAGAACAGGAUUACCGUACCACUCUGGUGCGGAUCUUACUCUGGAAGACCUACGAGGUUCUGUAGUAACUUAAUCUGAAGUUUCAUGAUCAUCAUCAUUAACUUCCUCACUAAUUGGUGUAGUAGUCACAGGAACAGAUUUCUGUGAUGAACUAGUUUCAAAUAAGGGAGCAGGUACAGUUACCUCAUCAAGUUCUAUUUUCCUCCCACUCACUUCUUUCGAGAGAAACUCCUUCUCUAGAAAGGAUCCACUCUUAGCAAUGAAUGUUUUGCCUUUGGAUUUGUGAUAGAAGGAGUACCCAACAGUUUCCUUUGGGUAUUCUAUGAAGACGCACUUCUCCGAUUUGGGUUCGAGCUUAUCAGGUUAAAACUUUUUCAUAUAAGCAUCGCAACUCCAAACUUUAAGAAACGACAGCUUAGGUUUACUGCUAAACCAUAGUUCAUACAGUGUCGUCUCAAUGGAUUUAGAUGGUGCCCUUUUUAAACGUGAAUGCAGCUGUCUCUAAUGCACAACCCCAAAACGAUAGUGGUAAAACCGAUAAGAGACAUCAUAGAUCGCACCAUAUCCAAUAAAGUGCAGUUACGACGUUCGGACACACCAUAACGUUGUGGUGUUUCAGGUGGCAUGAGCUGUGAAACUAUUCCACAUUGUUUUAAUUGAAGACCAAACUCGUAACUCAAAUAUUCGUCUCCGCGAUCAGAUCGUAGAAACUUUAUUUUCUUGUUACGAUGAUUUUUCCACUUCACUCUGAAAUUCUUUAAACCUUUCAAUUAUUUCAGACGUAUGUUUCAUCAAGUAGAUAUACUCAUAUCUGCUCAAUUCAUCUUGUGAAGGUCAGAAAAUAACGAUACCCGCCAUGAGCAUCAACACUCAUUGGACCGUAUACAUCGGUAUGUAUUGUUUCCAAUAAGUCAGUAGCUCGUUCCAUUGUUCCAGAGAACGGAGUUUUAGUCAUCUUGCCCAAAAGGCAUGGUUCGCAAGCAUCAAAUGAUUCAUAACCAAGUGAUUCCAAAAAUCCAUCUUUAUGAAGUUUCUUCAUGCGCUUUACACCGAUAUGACCCAAACGGCAGUGCCACAAAUAAGUUGCACUAUCAUUAUCAACUUUGCAUCUUUUGGCAUCAAUAUUAUGAAUAUGUGUAUCACUACGAUCAAGAUCCAACAAACUAUUUUCAUUGGGUGUAUGAUCAUCAAAGGUUUUAUUCAUUUAAACAGAACAACAAUUAUUCUCUGAUUUUAAAUGAAUAACCGUAUUGCAAUAAACAUGAUCAAAUCAUAUUCAUGCUCAACGCAAACGCCAAAUAACAUUUAUUUAGGUUCAAUACUAAUCCCGAAAGUAUAGGGAGUGUGCGAUGAUGAUCAUAUCAAUCUUGGAACCACUUCCAACACUCAUCGUCACUUCCCCUUCAACCAGUCUCUGUUUAUAUAACUCCUGUUUCGAGUUACUAAUCUUAGCAACUGAACAAGUAUCAAAUACUCAGGGGCUACUAUAAACAUUAGUAAGGCACACAUCAAUAACCUGUAUAUCAAAUAUACCCUUGUUCACUUUGCCAUCCUUCUUAUCCACCAAAUAUUUGGGGUAGUUCCACUUCCAGUGACCAGUACCUUUGCAGUAGAAUCACUUAGUCUUAGGCUUAGGUCCAGACUUGGGCUUCUUCACUUGAGCAGCAACUUGCUUGCUGUUCUUCUUGAAGUUCCCCUUCUUCCCUUUGCCCUUUUCCUUGAAACUAGUGAUCUUGUCCACCAUCAACACUUUGAUGUUUUUCUUUGAUUUCUACCUUCGCCGAUUUUUGCAUCGCGAAGAGCUUGGGAAUUGUUUUCGUCAUCCCUUGCAUACUAUAGUUCAUCAUGAAGUUCUAGUAACUUAGUGAUGGUGACUAGAGAAUUUUGUCAAUCACUAUCUUAUCUGAAAGAUUUAACUCCCACUUGAUUCAAGCGAUUGAAGUACCCAGACAAUCUGAGCACAUGCUCACUAGUUGAGCGAUUCUCCUCCAUCUUUUAGCCAUAGAACUUGUUGGAGACUUCAUAUCUCUCAACUCGGGUAUUUGCUUGAAAUAUUAACUUCAACUCCUGGAACAUCUCAUAUGGUCCAUGAUGUUCAAAACGUCUUUGAAGUCCCGAUUCUAAGCCGUUAAGCAUGGUGCACUAAACUAUCAAGUAGUCAUCAUAUUGAGCUAGCCAAACGUUCAUAACGUCUGCAUCUGCUCCUGCAAUAGGUUUGUCACCUAGCGGUGCAUCAAGGACAUAAUUCUUCUACGCAGCAAUGAGGGUAAACCUCAGAUCACGGAUCCAAUCCGCAUCAUUGCUACUAACAUUUUUUAACACAAUUUUCUCUAGGAACAUAUCAAAAUAAACAUAUGAAAGCAACAACGCGAGCUAUUGAUCUACAACAUAAUUUGCAAAAUACUACCUGGACUAAGUUCAUGAUAAAUUUAAGUUCAAUUAAUCAUAUUACUUAAGAACUCCCACUUAGACAGACAUCUCUCUAGUCAUCUAAGUGAUCACGUGAUCCAAAUCAACUAAACCAUGUCCGAUCAUCACGUGAGAUGGAGUAGUUUCAAUGGUGAACAUCAUUAUGUUGAUCAUAUCUACUAUAUGAUUCACGCUCGACCUUUCGGUCUCCGUGUUUCGAGGCCAUAUCUGUAUAUGCUAGGCUCGUCAAGUUUAACCCGAGUAUUCCGCGUGUGCAACUGUUUUGCACCCGUUGUAUUUGAACGUAGAGCCUAUCACAUCCGAUCAUCACGUGGUGUCUCAGCACGAAGAACUUUCGCAAUGGUGCAUACUCAGGGAGAACACUUCUUGAUAAUUAGUGAGAGAUCAUCUUAAAAUGCUACCGUCAAACAAAACAGAAUAAGAUGUAUAACAGAUAAACAUCAUAUGCAAUCAAAAUAUGUGACAUGAUAUGGCCAUGAUCAUCUUGCGCCUUUGAUCUCCAUCUCCAAAGUACUGUCAUGAUCUCUAUCGUUACCGGCACGACACCAUGAUCUUCAUCAUCUUGAUCUAUAUCAAUGUGUCGUUACAUGGUCGUCUCGCCAACUAUUGCUCUUGCAACUAUUGCUAUCGCAUAGCGAUAAAGUAAAGCAAUUAUUUGUUGGGUUUCAUAGUAAUUUCAAAAAAUUUCCUACGCACACGCAAGAUCAUGUGAUGCAUAGCAACGAGGGGAGAGUAUUGUCUACGUACCCAACGCAGACCGACUGCGGAAGCGGUGACACGACGUAGAGGAAGUAGUCGUACGUCUUCUCGAUCCAACCGAUCAAGCACCGAAACUACGGCACCUCCGAGUUCGAGCACACGUUCAGCUCGAUGACGAUCCCCGGACUCCGAUCCAGCAAAGUGUCGGGGAUGAGUUCCGUCAGCACGACGGCGUGGUGACGAUCUUGAUGUACUACAGCAGCAGGGCUUCGCCUAAACUCCGCUACAGUAUUAUCGAGGAAUAUGGUGGCUGGGGGCACCGCACACGGCUAAGGAAUAGAUCACGUGGAUCAACUUGUUGUUGUCUUUGGUGCUAGCCCUGCCCCUCUAUUUAUAUGUUGAGCCCCGGGGUCGAAACUUGGAGCAAAAGCCUCCUCAAAGUCGGUUUUGCCCGAAAGGCAAGAGUCCCACUCGGACUCCAGGACCAAACGCCACAAUCCUUGGCGUCUGGCCCAGACGCCAUGGGCCUCGGCAUCUGGCCCAGGGCCAGACGCCAGGGUCUCCGGCGUUUGGCCCCCUGGCCUCCGCAAAACUCCUUUUGCACCGACCUAAAGCCUCAUGGGAUUGACCCCUUGGCCUAACCAUAUCAUCCAAUAUAUGAAUCUUUACGUCUCGACCAUUUCGAGACUCCUCGUCAUGUCCCCGAUCUCAUCCGGGACUCCGAACUCCUUCGGUACAUCAAAACAUGUAAACUCAUAAUAUAACUGUCAUCGUAACCUUAAGCGUGCGGACCCUACGGGUUCGAGAACAAUGUAGACAUGACCGAGACACGUCUCUGGUCAAUAACCAAUAGCGGGACCUGGAUGCCCAUAUUGGCUCCUACAUAUUCUACGAAGAUCUUUAUCGGUCAGACCGCAUAACAACAUACGUUGUUCCCUUUGUCAUCGGUAUGUUACUUGCCCGAGAUUCGAUCGUCGGUAUCCAAUACCUAGUUCAAUCUCGUUACCGGCAAGUCUCUUUACUCGUUCCGUAAUACAUCAUCUCACAACUAACAUAUUAGUUGUAAUGCUUGCAAGGCUUAUGUGAUGUGUAUUACCGAGAGGGCCCAGAGAUACCUCUCCGACAAUCGGAGUGACAAAUCCUAAUCUCGAAAUACGCCAACCCAACAUCGACCAUUGGAGACACCUCUAAUGCUCCUUUAUAAUCACCCAGUUACGUUGUGACGUUUGGUAGCACCCAAAGUGUUCCUCCGGCAAACGGGAGUUGCAUAAUCUCAUAGUCAUAGGAACAUGUAUAAGUCAUGAAGAAAGCAAUAGCAACAUACUAAACGAUCGGGUGCUAAGCUAAUGGAAUGGGUCAUGUCAAUCAGAUCAUUCUACUAAUGAUGUGACCUCGUUAAUCAAUCAACUCAUUGUUCAUGGUUAGGAAACAUAACCAUCUUUGAUUAAUGAGCUAGUCAAGUAGAGGCGUACUAGUGACACUUUGUUUGUCUAUGUAUUCACACAUGUAUUAUGUUUCCGGUUAAUACAAUUCUAGCAUGAAUAAUAAACAUUUAUCAUGAUUAUAAGGAAAUAAAUAAUAACUUUAUUAUUGCCUCUAGGGCAUAUUUCCUUCAUUAUUUGGCACUUGCAUCCUAUGCAACAAAGAGACAACCAUAGGGCUUCUGCCAGUUGCCGAUAACUUCAACAAAACAUGAUCAUCUCAUACAACAACUUAUAUCUCAUCACGUCUUGACCAUAUCGCAUCACAACAUGCCCUGCAAAAACAAGUUAGACGUCCUCUACUUUGUUGUUGCAAAUUUUACGUGGCUGCUACGGGCUUAGCAAGAACCGUUCUUACCUACGCAUCAAAACCACAACGAUAGUUCGUCAAGUUAGUGUUGUUUUAACCUUCGCAAGGACCGGGCGUAGCCACACUCGGUUCAACUAAAGUUGGAGAAACAGACACCCGCUAGUCACUUGUGUGCAAAGCACGGCGGUAAAACCAGUCUCGCGUAAGCAUACGCGUAAUGUCGGUCCGGGCCGCUUCAUCCAACAAUACCGCCGAACCAAAGUAUGACAUGCUGGUAAGCAGUAUGACUUGUAUCGCCCUCAACUCACUUGUGUUCUACUCGUGCAUAUAACAUCAACGCAUAAAACCUAGGCUCUGAUACCACUGUUGGGGAACGUAGUAAUUUCAAAAAAAUUCCUACGCACACGCAAGAUCAUGGUGAUGGCAUAGCAACGAGAGGGGAGAGUGUUGUCUACGUACCCUCGUAGACCGUUAAGCGGAAGCGUUAUGACAACGCGGUUGAUGUAGUCGUACGUCUUCACGAUCCGACCGAUCCAAGCACCGAACGUACGACACCUCUGUGUUCAGCACACGUCCAGCUCGAUGACGUUCCCCGGGCUCCAAUCUAGCAAAGCGUCGGGGAUGAGUUCCGUCAGCACGACGGCGUGGUGACGAUGAUGAUGUUCUACCGGCGCAGGGCUUCGCCUAAACUCCGCGACGAUACAACCGAGGUGGAAUAUGGCGGAGGGGGGCACUACACACGGCUAAGGAACGAUCCGUAGAUCAACUUGUGUUGUCCCUAGAGGUGCCCCCCUGCCCCCAUAUAUAAAGGAGCAAGGGGGGAGGGGGCGGCCGGCCUAGAAGGGGCGCGCCAAGGAGAAGUCCUACUCCCACCGGGAGUAGGACUCCCUCCUUUCCUAGUCCAACUAGGAGACCUUCCAUGUAGUAGGAGUAGGAGAGAAGGAAAGGGAAGAGAGAAGGGAAGGAAGGAGGGGGUGCGGCCCCUCCCCCUAGUCCAAUUCGGACUAGGCCUUGGGGGUCGCGCGGCCUGCCCUAGGCAGCCCCUCUCUCUUUCCCGUAUGGCCCAAUAAGGCCCAAUACUUCUCCUGGCGAAUUCCCGUAACUCUCCGGUACUCCGAAAAAUACCCGAAUCACUCGGAACCUUUCCGAACUCCGAAUAUAGUCCUCCAAUAUAUCGAUCUUUACGUCUCGACCAUUUCGAGACUCCUCGUCAUGUCCCCGAUCUCAUCCGGAACUCCGAACUCCUUCGGUACAUUAAAACUCAUAAACUCAUAAUAUAGCUGUCAUCGUAACGUUAAGCGUGCGGACCCUACGGGUUCGAGAACUAUGUAGACAUGACCUAGAACUAUUCUUGGUCAAUAACCAAUAGCGGAACAUGGAUGCCCAUAUUGGUUCCUACAUAUUCUACGAAGAUCUUUAUCGGUCAAACCGCAUAACAACAUACGUUGUUCCCUUUGUCAUCGGUAUGUUACUUGCCCGAGAUUCGAUCGUCGGUAUCCAAUACCUAGUUCAAUCUCGUUACCGGCAAGUCUCUUUACUCGUUCCGUAAUACAUCAUCCCACAACUAACUCAUUAGUUGCAAUGCUUGUAAGGCUUAAGUGAUGUGUAUUACCGAGAGGGCCCAGAGAUACCUCUCCGACAAUCGGAGUGACAAAACCUAAUCUCGAAAUACGCCAACCCAACAUGUACCUUCGGAAACAUCUGUAGAGCACCUUUAUAAUCACCCAGUUACGUUGUGACGUUUGGUAGCACACAAAGUGUUCCUUUGGUAAACGGGAGUUGCAUAAUCUCAUAGUCACAGAAACAUGUAUAAGUCAUGAAGAAAGCAAUAGCAACAUACUAAAUGAUCGUGUGCUAAGCUAACGGAAUGGGUCAAGUCAAUCACAUCAUUCUCCUAAUGAUGUGAUCCCGUUAAUCAAAUGACAACUCUUUUGUCCAUGACUAGGAAACUUAACCAUCUUUGAUUCACGAGCUAGUCAAGUAGAGGCAUACUAGUGACACUAUGUUUGUCUAUGUAUUCACACAUGUAUUAUGUUUCCGGUUAAUACAAUUCUAGCAUGAAUAAUAAACAUUUAUCAUGAAAUAAGGAAAUAAAUAAUAACUUUAUUAUUGCCUUUAGGGCAUAUUUCCUUCAGAAACGUACACAUGACCGUAUAUGUAGCGUAAUGGCAAGUAUGAGGACUGUUUUGGAGCGAUUCACAAGUUCCAGGACUGUUUUGGAGCAGGCCGACGAGUUCCAGGACCGUGCGUGUAGUUUACUCCGGAAAUGUAUGUUCGAUCGGAGACCUCCUUUUCAGCGCCUUUAGCGCCAGGUUGGCCAACUGGCGCUCAUGCACCUCCUCGAGUGGGCCGGCCCAAAUACACGCGAACACUGUGUCCCUCGCUCGUAUUCUUGCAUCGCUCACUUUCUGUUAUUUCUCUUUUCAAAUACACGCGAACACUAGCUGACCGUUGACCAUUUGACCACCAACCAUCUGAACAAUGACUUUUCCAGAAAAAAAUCAUGCAAUUGAAAAAAAGUCUGUGAAUUUGAAAAAAGUUCAUUGAUUUUGAAAACAGUUCAUCAGAUUUGAAAAAAGUUCAUCGAUUUUUAAACAAUUCAUCAAAUUUGAAAAAAGUUCAUUAAAUUCUGAAAAAAGUUCAUCAGAUUUUGAAAAAAGGUCAUCAGAUUUUGAAAACAGUUCAUCGAAUUUUGAAAAGAGUUCAUCGAUUUUGAAAAUAGUUCAUAAGAUAUGAAAAAAGUUCAUCGGAUUUGAAUAAAAAGUUCAUCGAAUUUGAAAAAAAAAUCACAAAUCUGAAAAAGUUCAUCGAUUUGAAAAAAAUGUUCAUCGAACUCGGAAGAAGAAAAAGGGAAAAACAGAAAACGAAAAAGAAAAAAUAGAAAAAGGUAAAAGGAAAGAGGUAAAAUAAAUUAAAAGCUCAUUCGUAACAAAUCCUCCGUGGUGGCGCGCUGGUUACACCCGUUGUACUACGUGCGAGAGGUCGCUGGUUCGAAUCACAGCUAACGCAGGUCUUUUUGCUGAUUAAAACAGAGAAGAAAAAAGAUGUUGGGCCGGCCCAGCGGGAAAGGGGGGUAUGCGCCCGUUUGUCAAAACGCCUGUAGCGGGCGCUAAAGGCGCCGAAUAGGGUUUGCCGUUCGAUCGGUGAGUUGUGCUAGGUCCACGAAAAGUUACGUGGAAAGAAGGCUUACGGGCUGAAGUGGCAUGUGGCAACGUGUAACUGGGCUUAGUGGGGGCGCGGCCCACCCUGAAAAUUAGGGUUGAAGUGGCAACGUCUCGGCUACGUGAUCCCUCUCUCCCGCCCUCCCCAUGAUGGAAUUUUUUUAGGGUUAUCUUGCCGCUUUAUCUAUACCCCUUCUAAUAAAAUAUGGAUUUGCUUCCGCAUGUUCACCGCCAUCUUAAUUAUCCUAAAAAGUUGCUAAAAAUUACCGUUAUUUUUUUUGAUAAAAGAGAGCUUCCUCUUCGAUUUCAUUUAAAGAAAUCAUAAUGUUCACAGACUAAAAAAAUUACCCUCAAUACCACGCAUAAGUGAAAUAAACGUUUGAUUUGGACAUGACGUUUCAAACACCGUUCACACAACCACCGCGCGACCAAGCAGAUUAUGUUAAUCUGUAACUCUUUCUUUCUUUAUUCCUUCUCUCUCUGUUUUCCUUUUUCCUUUGUCCUUUUUUCCAUUUUUGUUUUCUGUGUUUUCUUUUUUUCUUCUUCUUCCAGGUUUCCUCCCUCACCGACUUUCAUGUUUUUUAUUUUCUUAAAUGCGUGAACUUUUCCAAAUAGAUGAUGCUUUUUUCAACUUUGAUGAAAUUUUGUUUUCAAAAUCAAUGAACUUUUUCUAAUGAGCUUUUUUAAAAAUUGAUGAUUUUUUUUCAAAUUCGAUGAACUUUUUCCAAUUUGAUGAUUUUUUUUCAAAUUUGAUGAACUUUUCUUAAAUUCAAUGAACUUAUUUUCAAUGGACUUUUCCUAAAAUUCAAUGAACUUAUUUUCAAAUUGUGAAUUUUAUUCCAAAUCGAUGAUUUUUUUUUCAAAUUCUAUGAUCUUUUGAAAAAAUUGGUGAACUUAUUUAUAGCUUCGUUGAACUUCUUUUCAAAGCGAUGAACUUUUUCAAAUUUGGUGAACAUUUUCCAAAUUUUAUGAACUUUUUUUUUUAAAUUUUGUGAUCUUUUAAAAAAAAUUGGUGAACUUAUUUAUAGCUUUGGUGAACUUUUUUGAAAACCGAUGAACUUUUUCAAAUUCGGUGAACUUUUUUCAAAAUUCAAUGAAUUUUUUUGAAUUGUAUUAGUUUUUUUAAAUCGAUGACCUUUUUCACAUGUGUGAACUUUUUUCAACAUUGCUGGAUUUAUUUUCUAAUAGAUGAGCUUUUCUUGUCAAAUUGGAUGAUUUUUUUUCAGAAACGACGAACUUUUCCAAUUCAUGAACUUUUUUCAAAAAUUGAUAAACUUUUUAUAUAUAAAGUAUAAAAAUGUAAGGCUUAUUGCGUAAUAGAUAACACGGCUGCAAUAGUUUUUUAAGAUUUCAUGUUCGUUUUUGUCACAUCGAUCUACGGGCUGAAGUGGUUAGCUGAACCAUCUUUCGAAGAGGCGAACCGAGUACGAGUCCUCAUACUCGCAGGUUUUUGCGGGUCUUUUUUCGCGAAACAAUUUCAGCGCAGGUGCAUUCGUGGGCCGACCCACUUGUCGUUUGCUGUAGGCGCCGGUUGACUUCAGGGGCGCUUAAAGCGCUCAAUAGGAGCUCCCCUUUGCACCGCGAGCACUUUUCUUCGCCGCCACCAGCUCCUUCCUCAUCGCCCUCGCAUCUUGACGGCAACCCUACAUAGCGCUGCCUGCCGGCACGAAUUUGCACCGUCCGCCACGACAACCUUCCUCCAGCAACGAGCAACAUCAGAUCAAGCUACCCUUGGGUCCCUAACCUCGGUGGUCAUCGCCGCCGGGGCAGGUGGUGGACUCGCGGUGUGGACAUGGUGCCUGGCCGGGGAGGGGAGUGCCGCACCGCGAGCCUCGUGCCGGCGGGCUACACGCUCGUCUCGCCGGUAGAGGAGUGGGCAAGAUAGUGGUCGCCACGACCCGGCCUGGGUACCCACUGUCCUCCCUACGAGACAUGGUCACCGUCAAGCCCCUAGUGCUGGUCUCAAAUUUCGUAAGCAGGAGCAGGGGGAGGCUUUUUGGCAGCAAGUGCAUAAAUCGUUUCAUGCACGAAAGCGUCCCACGAAAUGUAGAUCAUUCAGCAAUGCAAUGUGAGGUCAUUAUCGUAUCGUUGGUACGCUAUCCAGACUAGCGUCACCAAGUUUUGUAACGUGGUUCGUCAGCUGGAGGCAAGAUGGCCAUUGCAUGCGGCAGAAGAUGAGAUCGUAAAUUUUGCUUCCUCUUGCUCAACUUGUUGAUUGACUCGUUCACUCAAUGUUAGUCUACACAUUAUGUGUAGCCCGCACGUGCUGUCGUGAUGUACCACAUAACAGAGGGACGGUCAUUUACGUACACACACUGUUAGAUGAAAUUAAAGGGGGAAUAUGUGUGGGAGGGCAUGAUCACUUGAUGAAAAACUUGUUGGACAUCCGGUUAAUCUAGUUGAAUUUGAGAUAUUGUUGUACUAGACUUAAUUUGCAUGCUAUGUAUGAAUGAUUUGUGUCAUUUUCUAUCUGAACUUUGAUUAAUAUCGACUGGUUUGCAUGAAUUUGCCCGGUUAGUUCAAAUGCAGGUUGAAAUCGAGCGGCGCUAAAUGACGGCCUCCCGCAUCUGUGUCCGCGUACUAGUCCUUUCCUGUCCGCAGACGAAUGCGGAAGGAAAUUUGCGGGUCGCCGUUGGAAAUGCCCUUAUCUGUUUAGUGAGCAUAUGGACUGCAAGACUUUUAGUACUAGUUAUUUAUACGUGCUUUGCACGUUAUAUUAUCAUCUGUAAUGAAUACUAAAUUAUUCAAAUUAAACUAAAUCUUCUAUAUUAUGGUAAAAUUAUCAUGUAACUUUCAAAAAGUACAUGUGCGUUUGAUGUAAUAUUUUUCACCUUUUCACACAAUUAAUUCAGAGUUUUAUAAAUUGCAUUUAAUUUGUGUGUCCUCGACCUCACAACUUUUUAAAUAACUUAGCAUCCUGUUUGAAAAAAUAAAGUAAAAUCUAAAUCUAAUUUUUCUGCUGGUUAUUUGAUUAUUUCUCUCGACGACCAACAACCACGUGUGAUACUACUUUCUACAGUAUAAUUACUUACUUAGACAAAAAUAAAAAAUGCUUCCGUGCAUGCAUUUAACAAUACUCGCAUGAGUAGUAAAUUGCUAGUGUAGUACUCCCGCUGUUAUUUUAGUUUGUAUAUAAGAUUUGGUCAAAGUCAAAUUUUGUAAAAUUUGACCAACUUUGUUGCAAAAAUAUCAACAUCUACAAUACUAAAUCUAUAUGGUAUGCAAAUUUAUUUCAUGAUACAUCUAACAAUAUUGAUUUUAUAUUGUGAAUCAUGAUAAUUUUUUUCUAUAAACUUAGUUAAAGUUGAUAAAGUUUAAUUUUGACCAAAUUUUAUAUGCACACCAAAAAGAAAGGGAGAGAGUACUAUAGGCUGAUAGCCUUUGCAUGCACACUUGUCUGGAUACUUCUAGCUUGCAGGAGUACUACUCACGUAAAAUAAGUGAAUAUAAUACGUAUGACAGGACGGUGCGAAGCCAUCGGCAGAAUAUAAUAGAGAAGAUUGCCUUCAUCGAGAGAGGCGGAAGACGGGGGUGAGCUAGCGGCUGCUGGCUGCAUGCUUGGAGCGGAGGAGGACGUCCGCCUGUGCAGAGCAACGGAUGGUGUGCGGGAGGAGUUCAGUCCAGAAGAAGAGAUAAUUCCUUAUUUGGUCUUUUCUUAAAAUUUGCUUUCCUUUUUGGCCCUUUAAAUUAUUUUCUUCCUCUUUUGACAUUUAAACUUCAGUUUGUGCCCUAUGUGACCCUUUCAUCCGUUUUUUCAUUCAAUGGUGUUAACUGGCACAUGAAAUGACAAUUUUGCCCUUGAUGGUAGUAUGUCACCAGAAAAGAGAAAAGAAGGGGCAUGAACGAACAGAAAAAAAAGGGAGGGGGGAGGGAUCUGUGUUAGGAGUUUUUUUUAGAAAAAAAAAUCUGUGUUGUGAGUUAAAACACAACAUAACCUCCUGUGCGUGUGCGUAUAGGUUCCUUGCUCUUCCAUGUAUCUGUGUUGGGGCCGAGGUUCCCCGUGCCCGACAAGCGGCCGGCCGUAUCCUCCUCCCGUGCGUGGGUGCGCCGAGGCCGCUGCCACCUCACAUGCACGGCGGCUCCGAGGCUGUCAGCCGUUUUUUUACAUCGUAUUAUAAUUGGAGCUCGUAUCCUUCAGAAACAAUACGUACGUGCAAGCUAGCACACGCAAAUAGCUUGAUUGAUUUUCAAGUAGCAGCAAGGUACGUGCAAGCUAGUAGGCUGGCAGCUUAAUUGAUUCUGGCCUAACUCUUGCGUAGACGCAAGUACGCGACUAGCUUCUGCUCGAUCGAUCUGAUCGUCUCUCGAAACGUAGCGACUUCUUUCAUUGGAACGAACGCGAAACAAAUAGAUGGAUUGCAACAGGCUAUCUGGUGCAACUCGCCGGCCGGCGAGUACAUACGUGCACGGCUAUAGUGCAUGUAUUGUUAGCUAGGUACUGCACAUCAAUUAAGCUGCCAACUUGGCUGCUUUGUUGAGGCUAGAUUGCAGGUACAUGCUCAGCUCCAACACAUCGAGGUGAUUAGAUGCAUGUGUGCAUGUAAAUAAUUUGGUCACAUACAACAGUAGGGGUAAAAUGGUUUUUUUGGGUUAAACUUAACACCGUUACAGGUCAAAUUUGACGGAAGUGUCACAUAGGGAACAAAAUAAAGUUUGAGUGUCAGAAAAGGAAAAAUGCAAAAAUUUGGGCCAAAAAAGGAAAUUAAUUUUAAGAAUGGGCCAAAUAAGGAAACGUAAACAGUCUGAGCCGUCAGAUCUACCCAUAUCGACGGCCACCUUUCUUUUGAUUCACUCCUUCUUAGUCCGUUGGAUCUGCAGAAUCGAGGACUCACACUAUUUUAAGGUGAAGUUUGGCGGGAACACUGUACAUGUGGUGGUAAAUCGGAAGUUCAAAAACUGUUGUAUUAUAGUAGUAGUUAGUAUUUAAGUGUAAACUAGAUAAUUGCGUGUUGCAACGGGUUAGAAUAUUCUAAUAUGUUCAUGUGAUUUAUCUGGUCAUGUUAAUACAAUUAUGUAGCGAGAUCGAGAAGACUCCCCUACGCUCCUCGCCUAGGGUUUGCCUCCUCUAUGGCGAUCUGAUCGCCUAGAGUCUCCCCAUCCAAUUUACCCCGAUCGGCGCCUCCGUCGAUCCUUGCAACCUUUCCUGUUGUGCCCGGAUGGCCUCCUCGGAUGCCAACUCGGCCACGAGCGGCGGCGCCUCGGCGUCCGCCAACCCCGUCCUGGAGGAUUUCUUUGACCAACUAGAUCUGAACGAUGAGGAUUUCAACGAUGUGGAAAUCGAUGAGGAGGAUCCGGUGAUCCAGGAAAGCGUGAGGUGGUUAGCCCUUGCUAGGGUUCAUACUGAGAAGAACUUCUCCCCGGCCGCCUUCUACAAGGAUAUGAGAGCGGCCUGGAAUCCGGCUCAAAGUGUGAGAUUUCGCCCUGUUGGUCCCAAUAGAUUUGUAGUUCAGGCCUCAUGCCUGGGUGAUUGGGAGCGGAUGUUGAUGCAUGGGCCAUGGCUAUUUCGAAACAUGGCGGUUCUGAUGUGUCCGUAUGACAGGUUUACCAAAGCUGAUGAGGUAGUCUUUGAUCAUUUGCCUAUAUGGUUACAGAUUCACAAGUUGCCGGACCCAUAUUGCAAGCAGGAGAUUGUGGGCAAACUGUUGAAUGGCGCAUGCAAAAUCCUGGAGAUGAGGCUAAACGGCAAUACCCGCGGCGACUACAUUAGGGUUAGGGUGGAGCAUGACAUAAAACUCCCCCUGACCAAGUUUGUGAGCAUUGUACGAUCUCAAGCAAGACAAGUCUAUCUGGUUCGAUAUGAGAAGUUGGCCAGAUUCUGCAAGCUCUGUGGCCUCAUUGGACAUGAGCACAAGGAGUGCGGCUCCGGUGUUCAUGACCAGCAGAAGCUCAAGUUCGGUGACUGGCUAUACGGCGACGGCCCUAGCCACUCCCGUCCCGAACCAAACCCUAGCAGGACAGGUGCCCCCAGGCAGCCGGGGGACAAGGGAAGUUCCAAAGCUCCGGUGGAUCCUGGGACUCAUGGGACUGACCCGGAUAUACUGGAUACGACCUCCAGCCCGACUAAGGUACACCGUGAUCACAUGGAGCUGGAACGUGAGGCAAGAAAGAGGCUCAACAUGGAUAUAGCUGGGGAUGUGGACGUGCACACAUCCAACCAGACCAAAACCCUACUUGCCAUCACGGAUGGUAGUCGGAAGGAUGAAGGGGAGACUUCUUCGCCUUCGAGCAGUACGUCUAGUAGCAAACGAGCCAAAUUGUCACAAGAUCAUACUAACAAUGAGAUAUCGGCGGCCUCCCUCGAGGAGGACCGCCGGAUGCAAUGAAUAUACUAUUUUGGAANNNNNNNNNNNNNNNNNNNNNNNNNNNNNNNNNNNNNNNNNNNNNNNNNNNNNNNNNNNNNNNNNNNNNNNNNNNNNNNNNNNNNNNNNNNNNNNNNNNNNNNNNNNNNNNNNNNNNNNNNNNNNNNNNNNNNNNNNNNNNNNNNNNNNNNNNNNNNNNNNNNNNNNNNNNNNNNNNNNNNNNNNNNNNNNNNNNNNNNNNNNNNNNNGCUAAAGUGGAAAAACUGCGUUGGAGACUCGGUUUGAAAGGCUUUCAUGGUGUGAGUAGCGAUGGAAGAAGUGGUGGUUUGGCUCUAUUUUGGGAUGAGUCGUUGAACGUUACAGUGCUAGAUUCUUGCAGCCGUUUUAUUGAUGUCAAGGUAGUUGAUGGCGGCUCGAGCACUUCUUGGCGAGGAACUUUCGUCUAUGGGGAGCCACGUGUUGAGAACCGUCAUCGGAUGUGGGAGCAACUGUGUGGGCUUAGGGCCAGUUCGCGGGAGCCAUGGGUGGUGUGCGGAGAUUUUAAUGAGGCACUUUGGCAGCAUGAGCAUCUCUCUGGUACUCCGCGGUCUGAAGCUCAAAUGGUGGCGUAUAGGGAUUGCUUGGAAAGGUGCGAGUUGGAGGACCUGGGUUUUUCGGGCUUCCCGUUUACCUACAACAAUGGACAACAGGCGGAUCAGAAUGUACAGGUCCGUUUGGAUAGGGCAUGCGCUGAUGAAUCUUGGCGGGAUUCAUUCCCCGCCGCGAGGGUGGUCCAUCUGGCUACACCAUGCUCGGAUCAUUGCCCCGUCUUGAUCCAGAUGGAGGGCCAGCAAGAAGUUAAUCGCCGGGUCCCGACUUUGCGCUAUGAAAUUAUGUGGGAACAGGAUCAUACCCUACCCGAGUUGCUAGCCGGGGCGUGGAACAGACACAAACAGCCUGGCUACUUGAGCUCGGUGGCAAAUUCUCUAAAGGAGGUGCUGAAGGAUUUGAAAGAAUGGAGUAAAAUCAAGUUUGGUAACGUGUUAAAGGAGAUCGAGAAGCUGCGUUCACAACUUGACGAAUUACAGAUGUCGGGUUCAGACUAUGUUCUUAUUCGUGCAAAGAUGACUGAGUUGGACGAGCUGUUAUACCGUGAGGAGAUGCUUUGGCUUCAACGCUCUUGUAUUGAUUGGUUAAAAGAAGGGGAACGGAACACAAAGUUUCUGCGUAGAAGAGCUGUUUGGCGAGCUCGAAGAAAUUUUAUUUGCCGCUUGCAGAAGCAAGAUGGUUCUUGGUGUCAUGUUCCGUCAGACAUGGAGAGAAUGACGUCCUCCUAUUUCAAGGAGAUCUUUACAAAGGACCCAACUCUCUCUCCGGAUGCGGUUCUUGACUGUAUUCAGCAGAAAGUUACACCGGAGAUGAAUGAGUCACUAUGUAGACCAUAUACCGAGGAGGAAAUCUCGGAUGCUUUGUUCCAAAUCGGGCCUCUCAAAGCCCCGGGCUGCGAUGGCUUCCCAGCCAGAUUUUACCAGCGAAACUGGGGUUUAGUAAAAACUGAGAUUGUUGCGGCUGUUCAAGAAUUCUUCUCUUCAGGUGUGAUGACUGAUGGUGUGAACGACACGGCUAUAGUGCUUAUUCCUAAAGUUCCCCACCCUCAGGAACUGAAAGAUUUCCGGCCUAUUAGCUUGUGUAAUGUGCUUUACAAGGUUGUUUCAAAGUGUAUGGCGAACAGACUACGACCUCUUCUGUCAGAACUCAUAUCUGAGAACCAGAGCGCUUUCAUCCCAGGAUGAUUGAUUUCUAACAAUUCGGUUAUUGCGUUUGAAUGCAUCAAUCAUAUUCAGACUGUACGACACUCUGGUCCCGGGCUGUGUGCGUACAAGCUAGACCUGUCCAAGGCCUACGAUCGCGUGGACUGGGUUUUUCUGGAGCGUGCCUUGGCAAAAUGGGGCUUCUCUCCCCUAUGGAUCUCCCGUGUCAUGGCGUGUGUGUCAUCUGUAAAGUACUCGGUGAAGUUUAAUGGGAAGUUGCUGGAAUUUUUCUCUCCUUCGAGAGGACUUCGUCAAGGUGACCCGAUAUCUCCCUUCCUGUUCUUGUUUGUUGCUGAUGCUCUCUCUUCCUUGAUUCAUAAGGUGACGCGACAAGAUGGCCUCGAAGGGAUAAGAAUUUGCAGGGGGCACCAGAAAUCUCCCACCUUCUGUUUGCGGAUGAUUCUCUACUGUUUUUCCAGGCAACAGAGCAUCAGGCACUGCUAGUGAAAGGUUUGUUGAACACGUUUGCGACGGCGACUGGCCAACUGAUUAACCCGUCCAAAUGUUCCAUCCUCUUCUCAAACCAGUGUCCACUGAAUGUUGCACUGCAAGUAAAAAAUAUCCUGGAGGUUACCCAGGAAGCUUUUGAACCCAAAUAUUUGGGCUUGCCGAUCCCCGAUGGCAGGAUGCACAAGGGGAAGUUUGAGUCCUUACAGGAACGGCUCAGGAAAGUUCUUGUUUACUGGAGUGAGCAGUACAUGUCUUCAGGCAACAAAGAGGUUCUGAUUAAGUCGGUAGCUCAAGCCAUUCCGACAUAUACCAUGGGUAUUUUCAAACUCCCCUAUUCAGUGUGUGAUGACCUGUCUCGCAUGAUACGCCAAUACUGGUGGGGGAUGGAGAAUGGCAAAAGGAAAAUGGCCUGGUUGAGCUGGGAUAAACUACGGUUACCUAAAUCCAUGGGGGGCAUGGGUUUUCGGGACAUGAGGGCUUUUAACCAGGCUUUGCUCGCCAAACAGGCCUGGAGGCUCAUCGACAAGCCAGAUAGCUUAUGUGCGCGUCUGUUGAAAGCUAAAUAUUACCCCUUUGGACAGCUCCUCGAUACAGUCUUUCCGAGCUCCGGUUCGGAGGUGUGGAAAGGAGUUUUGCAUGGCCUGGAGCUUGUCAAGAAGGGGGUCAUAUGGCGUGUUGGUAAUGGUACUAUGAUCCGGACGUGGCGAGACCCGUGGAUUCCGCACCCUCAAUCAUUCCGUCCAAUUACUCCUAAAUGUAAUUGUCGUUUCAACUGGGUUUCUGAUUUCCUUGAUGACAAUGGUGCAUGGAGAUUUGAUCGGCUGAGGGAGUUUUUCUGGGAGAUGGAUGUUGAGCACAUUCUGAAGAUCAGACCCUCGCCGCGCCAACGUGAUGAUUUUCUUUCUUGGCACCCAAAAAAAGUGGCCAAUUCACUGUAAGAAGUGCGUACAGGCUGGCCACUUACGAACACAAUGACACAUUUGCAAAUGGUGCCUCCAGCACCAAUCCUGAGGGGAACCGGUCGAGCUGGAACUAUAUUUGGAGGUCCAUGGUCCCUCAGAAGAUGAAGAUCACGACGUGGAGGUGUGCGACAGGUACGCUUGCUACCCAGCAAUGUAAAUCUUAUAGACACCUGGCCACGUCUUCUACCUGUCCGCUGUGUGGUAUUGAUGUGGAGGACUCCUUCCAUUCAUUAGUAACCUGUACCCAUGCAAGAACUCUUUGGAUAAAUAUGAGACGAAGAUGGCCGCUGCCUGGGGACGAGGCUCUCAUCUUUGAUGGUAAAGAAUGGUUGGUUUCCUUGCUGUCUAGGUGUUCUGACGACGUCCGUGUCAUGAUCAUACUGCUUUUCUGGAGGAUUUGGCAGUUGCGGAACGAUAUGACCCAUGGGAAGGCAUCCCCCCGGUGCUUUCUACUGUCGAGUACCUGGAUAGUUACUAUAUAUCGAUCAAGCUAGCUGGUCGCUAUUCCACUGAAGAUAUACUAAAGGGGAAGAUGACCACUGUGGAGAAUGACAGGCCGAGGCUCUCGGUGGAGCGGCCUGCAGUUCCAUGGCCAGCACCACCGCAGGGCACCGUGGCACUCUCGGUUGACGGCUCGUUUCUCCAUCACGAUGGCUCUGCUGCUGCGGGGAUGGUGCUCAGGACCGAAAAAGGGGAGAUUCUGAUGGCCGCGUAUCGUUGUAUCUUUCAUUGCAACGAUCCUCUCGAAGCUGAGCUACAUGCGAUCAUGCAGCAUAUGGCCUUGGCCAUUCAGCAUUCAGAUCUUCCAGUAAUCGUGCAAACGGACUCCUCUGAAGCCCUAUCUAGUUUGACAAAUGAUGGGUUGGUUCAUUCGCGGUAUGGUCAUAUAGUUCUGGAAAUCAAAGAUCUGCUUGGUAGUAGGGAGUUUUCCUCACAAAAGAUUAGUAGACUUCAAAAUAGUGUUGCCGAUCGUCUGGCAAAAUACAGCCGAUCCGAACAAGCUACGGCUGUGUGGCUUGGUUCGGUUCCAUCAUGUAUCGAGGACAUUUGGCCCCUCGACUGUAACACUAUUCAUAUGUAAUGAAACUCCCUUUACCCCCACAAAAAAAAUACAAUUAUGUAAAUAAAUGUUUAUCAAAUCCUGCUCGUGAUUUAUCUAUCUAUAUAAAAUUUAGGAUUUUAUUUGGUAACACUUAUUUGCUAAACACUUAUUAGCUUACUAAACACACUAAAAUUUUAUUUGCUAGUUCUGUUUUAAGGGAAAUCAGUGAAACAACCCAGAGGAGGGGGAAAUCAAAACAGAGAGAGGGCAGGAAGUAUCUAAGGCUAGGAGAAGGACGAGGUGGACCAUAUACCUUACAUUCUUUGGGUGCAGGAGAAAAAAAAGUAGAAACACCGGGCUUUUAAAUUUGUGAAACACCGAUGAAAGUAAAAUCACGUGAAAAUACAUUAGCCUUUUCACAUGAAAGCUCAUAAGCGGUGCUCAAUUAGCUCAAUUAGAUUUGAUAAUAUAUGCACCGAUUAAGGGAUGCAACUUCAGUGCCGUAAAGGCACUUGCCUUUGGGUCACUGACAUGUGCGCCAGUCACCUGUUGGGCCCACACGUCAUAGGCACAAAGGCAGGUGCCUUAAGGUACCGAAGGUCGGUCGUGAUUAAGAUAUUCCUUUUUUAAAUAACAGUAGAUGCAAACACCUCUAUGAUCUAUGUAAUGUCACCUUUUUCCCCUGUAUCCAUUGGGUUUCCCUUUUCUUGUGCAGAUGCCAUUGUUUUUUUAACACAAGUAGGAGCCAACAAGCGCCAAAUUUUCAUUCAUCUCAGAAGCCAAGUACAACGUGAAUUACAUACCCUUCCACCUGAAGAUUUUGAAGAGAAAAUAAAAAAGGGCAAGUACCAUUGCCUUGAGAGGAAUGAAUACAAGUGAAGACAGAUUCUACUCUUGAGUUGAGAACCUGAUGAGCACAAUCAUGAGCUGCCCCAUUGACAUUCCCGGUGAUGUGAUAAACAUCAACAUUUAGAGAUAACGUGUCCUGGAUAAAUCUGUUGAGAGGGAUGUGGACAUCUUCACCUGAUCAAGUCAUCAUUUAUAUUUCUGGAUACCGCCAUCUUUGCCGAGGAAAGAUUGUCAGUUAGGAAAGAUACCUGAUUAAGGUGAAGAGAGGCCGCCACCCCAGCUGCGAGCCUAAGCGCCAAAGCUUCUGCACAUAGAGGAGAAUGAGCAUCAUCCGCAGAACCAUGAUUUUUCUAUCAAGUCCUUGAUCAGUAAUAUGGAAAAAAACAUCAAUCCACUAGUAAAAAAAUGGCUAGCCACACGUUUCUGGCGCGCCGUUUUUAUCAACGCCAGCACUAUUUUUUUUUUCAAAUAGUGAUCAAGCUCAAGGACUAUUUUAUCAAGGCCAGCUCCAGGACUCAAGCUCAAGACCUCACACUUAAGGGCGUGCACAACUAGCCACUUCACCCAACCACUGCAUAUGGUAUCUUGUAGCGCAAAAUAUAUAAGAAAGCACAAAAAUAUUCAUAUAUAUUAAAUAUGUUUUGAAAAAAUCAAAUUUUUUUAUUGAGAAAAAUGUGAACAAUUUUGAAAUGCCACAUAGAUUUUGAAUUUAUGAACGGCAUUAGAGCAGACUUUUUUUGAAAUCGGAAAAAAAUCGGAACAUGAAAGAUUUCUGAACAUCUUUCAAAACAUGAACAAUUUUUAAAACUUGUGGUUUUCCCUUUUUUUCUGUUUUUGUUUGUCCCAUUUUCCUUCUGUUUUUUAUUUUUCUUUUCAUUUUUAAAUUCACAACUAUUUCAUAAAUUGAACUUUGUUUUCAAAUCCAUGAACCUGUUUCCAAAUCCACGAACACUUUUCAACAUUUACGAACUUUUUCCAAAGCCCGUGAACCUUUUUCAAUUUGUGAACAUUUGUUUUCAAAAUUAAGUUUUUUUAAACGAGAAAGCUAACCACCUGUCGACUGGACGUUAGGGACAGGCACAAACGAGUCCCGCGUCGUCAGAUAGAAAAUGAGCGGCUCGUGAUCCAGCUUAUCCCUUCCUCCUUUCUCUCCCCCGACAGCACCCAAUCUCCUUCCUCCUGCGCCAGGUGGCCAAGGAGAGCUACCAGGCGCGAGACCAAGUGUAGCAGCAGCUCCUCGUGGCGGCCAAGCAGGCGGCGGCGCUAGCAGCAAUGGCGCUGGCGCUGGGUACGUCGAGCGUCACCGACUUGGACUGUAGCCUCCUGUCAUCCACGAUGGAUCCCUUCUUCGACCCUAUCACCUCCUUCGACCGAUGCUCCUGCGUCGGCCGGUCGGCGGCAAGCUCAGCCGCGCCAACCCGCCCCCGCCGGCCAAGCAGCAGCCGCAGCAGCAGUGCGGUGCCGAUGCGAUUCUUGACAUGCUCGCUGCGAAGACGCCACUGUCGUCGAGGGACCGGCUGCUGCACGCACAUGCUUCCGCUGCUGCUCCUGUAGUCUCUGUUGUAGUACGUGUAUGCUGAGAAUUAUGGAGCAGAGAUGUUGUCUUCACGCCUUGGUAGCCGAUACAAGGUCUCAACCACAUUUUGGCUGCUUAACCGAAGUUGCAGGGCUGAUUUUGGUGGCUUACAUCGGCAGCCCACGGCUCUACUCUGUUAGCUUCGGUUCAGUAACUUCAGUUCUGUAAGAACUUGCCAAGCCAUUUUUACAUGUACGUAUUUUCUUCCCAAAGAAUAUCACAGAAUUUGAUGGAUGAUCUCCUUCAUGGUGUAUCUCAAUCUAUAAUUUUUUAUAGUAUGAUUAUUCUAUGGAAUGAAUGAUCAUCUCCUCCAUGUAGAAAUGCUACUCUGACUGACUCUUAACAUCCUUCUUGCAUGAUAAUUAAGGAUUGCUGCCACGUGUCUCCGCUCCCCCGCGCUCACGCAGCUGGACGCUCCUUGCAUUGUUAUUCUCAUGGUUCCUUGCAUUGAUCAAUGGUCUAAACGAAGCAACAACAAAAAUAGAGUCCGAUAACUCAUGUACCUCGGUCCCGACAAUUCACACAUUACAAACCUGAUAACUUAUGUACCCCGAUCCUGAUAAUUUUGGCACGGGGUGGGGGGUAGGGGGUUGAUGAUAUAUCCGUCGGUAACGUUGGUGUGAAUAGCAUGGUAACUCACACAUCGAAGACCUGGUAACGUAUGCACCCUGUGACUAGUACUUCCGCGAGGAGGGGUGAUGAAAUAUACCCCUCAUAGCUUUUAUGUGAAUAGCAUGGCANNNNNNNNNNNNNNNNNNNNNNNNNNNNNNNNNNNNNNNNNNNNNNNNNNNNNNNNNNNNNNNNNNNNNNNNNNNNNNNNNNNNNNNNNNNNNNNNNNNNNNNNNNNNNNNNNNNNNNNNNNNNNNNNNNNNNNNNNNNNNNNNNNNNNNNNNNNNNNNNNNNNNNNNNNNNNNNNNNNNNNNNNNNNNNNNNNNNNNNNNNNNNNNNNNNNNNNNNNNNNNNNNNNNNNNNNNNNNNNNNNNNNNNNNNNNNNNNNNNNNNNNNNNNNNNNNNNNNNNNNNNNNNNNUACGUUCGGUAAUUUUUUAUGUGAAUAUCAUGAUAACUCACACAUCAUAGACCUGAUAACUUAUGUACACGGCCCUGAUAACUUUGGCGACGGCGGUGAGGGGUGGGGAAGAGCUGUUGGUGAAAUAUAUCCCCCCCUAACUUUUGUGUGAAUAGCAUGUAACUCACACAUCGCAGACCUAAUAACUUAGAUACAAACACCGCGGUAAAUUUAGACCCAAAUAAAAAGUUGUUGAAACAUACCCUGGUUACUUCUAUGCAAAUAGCACGGUAAUAUAUGCACCGUAGACCUGAUAAAUUAGGUACAAAAACCAUGGUAACUUUAACCCCUGGGAAAGAAGUGGUUGAAAACACCCCCCAGUCACUUCUGCAUAAAUAACAUGUUAAUUUACAUAUAACAUAACUGAUAACUUUAUGGUAACUUUUGACCAAAAAAGUCAUCAAAACAUGCCAACAUGAGAUCUUGUUUCGAAGUUCUCGUCGUGACGGAUUUUUUAUGUGAAAACGAUUUUUUCAACGAUAGUUUGAGCUAUAAAAUAUUUUACAGUUUUGAAAUAACGAGAAUCUACAAUGACAUAUGCUUUCCUGUGCUCUAGUGCAUUUGCAUGUGUGGAGAAUGUUGGAGGAGACAUUUUUAUGUCUGGGUAAUUUCUAUAGUAAACAGGAUGGUAAAUGGCGUACCACAGAGGUGAUAACUUAUUUAGCCUAGGUCUGGUAACUUUUGACCCGAAAAAAAGUCGUUGAAAUAUACCAAUAUGGGAUCUAGUUUCGAAGAUCUCGUCGCAGCGAAUCUUUCAUGUGAAAACAGUUUUUCAAUCGGAUCAACUGUUUGACCUACAAAACAUUUUAAAGUUUUAAAUUUGAUGGAAUUUUUAGUGACAUCAUCAGUUUUGUCCUAUAUGCAUGCAUGCACCUAUUAGGGAAAAAAAUUAGACGAAUAUGUUUGUUUUCGUAUUAAAAAAGUAAUCAACACCCGGCAACAGCAGUGUAGAUGAAUUGUGCGGAUCUGUUGCUUAUCUUCCGGUCAACUGGAAGUUAGCACUGUCCUUUUUUAAAUCCGCUAACACUUGGGUUGGCCCAACAGUACCCGGCUGGACCAAUGUCGUAUUUUGUUUUGUUUUCUAUUUUUUCAUUUUCCUAUUUUUUGGUUAUUCAUUUUCUCCUUUUGAACUUUAUUAUUCCUUUUGAAACCUAUUUAAAAAUUGAAAUAUUUUUGGAAUACCCGAAAAUUAUCUUGUUUUCAAAUAUUGUUUACAAUUUUAAAAAUACUCUGGAAUUUAAAAAAUGUUCUUGUUUUGAUUUUUUUGUUCACAAAUUUAAGAAAUGCUUAUGUUUCAAAAAAGUUGAUAAAUUUUAAAAAAAUAGGUGGUUUGCAAUUGGUGUACAUCAUCAAUUGUUGGGAAUUUUUUCACAAAUUUAGAAAAAGUGUUCAAGUUUCUACAAUUUUCAUACUCAAUUUGAAACUCCAAAAUGUUGAAAAAUUUCAAAAAAUUGUUAGGAUAUAGGAAAAUGUUCAUAUUGAUUGAUAAUCAUGGAAACUAUAAAUACUAGAGGCAUGAAAUCAGGAAAAACUUAAUGCUGACGGAUGCACCCUUCUGGCCUAGUCUAGUACACUCCUCUCAACUGGUGUUAUUUAACUAUGAAUAAGUGACCCCAACUUCUUGCAGCAGCCUGUCAUGAACAUAUGAGGCAUCAAUGCCAGGUUUGAGUGAGUUCCAACACUGUUUGGAUGAUGCGACACGUCCGGCCAUUUAUCAGCCUUUUUUCACUGAGAAAACUCCAGAAAAUGCAAAACUUGCCAAAAAUUCAAACAAUUUGACAUGAUGCCUUGAAUUGGUCAUAAAAGUGGGUGGGAUUUUUUUGGGCCCAUUUAAUGAAGGUGGAGAAACAACGUGCUCGACGGAGCCUUCUGACCUACCCGAACACACUCCGUUGAACAUGGUAUAAUUUUGGACAUCCUUCAAAUGACCGCAACUUUUGCACGAAGGUGGACAUGCCCAUGGUAGGCAUAUGUGUCAGGUUUGAAUGAUUUCUGACACCGUAUGCAAGUUGUGACAUGUCGGACCAUUUAUCAACCUUUUUGAUCCAGAAAACUCCAGGAAAUGCAAAGUUUAUUGAAAAUUAAACAACUUGGCAUGCUACCUUUAAUUGGUCAUAUAAGCUCAUGAAAUUUUUUGAGGUCAUUUGACGGAUGGCAAAAAAACGUGCUCUCAAACGAAGCCUUCUAACCUAACCGAACACCUUUCGGUAAACAUGGCGUUUUUUUGGACAUUCAUGCAAUGACCUCAAGUUUUGCCAGUAGGUGGGCAUGCCCAUGGUAGGCAUCUAUGCCAGGCUUGAAUGGAAAAGUAUUUAAAAUCAUAAUUUAAAUAGGUACUUAAAACUAUUAUUUUAUUUUUCCUCGUUUUCGCGCGCGACAAUGGACCGACACAGGUGGGCAGUCUCUUGUGAAAAAUGUAUUUAAUCCAGAACUUUUUUUUGUCAAAUUCGUCAAUUUUUUUCAAAUUGAUGAACUUUUUUCAUUUUUGCGAUUUUUUCUUUUAAUUUCAUGAAAUUUUGUUCAAAUUGAUGAACUUUUUUCAAUUCCGCGGGCGUACAGGGACUCGAAUUAGACCAGACAAAACCAAAAAAAGGAAACUAGACUUAGAAGAUGCACAACAAAAAGUGUAAAAGAAGUAGCUGAUAUCUACUACACAACCUUCUUCUUGUAGACUCGUGUUGGGCCUCCAAGCGCAGAGUUUUGUAGGACAAUAGCAAUUUUUCCUCAGGUAUAUGACCUAAGGUUUUAUUAAUCCGUGGGAGGCGUAGGAUGAAGAUGGUCUCUCUCAAACAACCCUGCAACCAAAUAACAAAGAGUCUCUUGUGUCCCCAACACACCCAAUACAAUGGUAAAUUCUAUAGGUGCACUAGUUUGACGAAGAGAUGGUGAUACAAGUGUAAUAUAGAUGGUAGAUAUAGGUUUUUGUAAUCUGACAAUAUAAAAGCAGCAAGAUAACUAGUAACAGAAGUGAGCAAAAAAGGUAUUGCAAUGCUUGAAAACAAGGCAUGAGGUUCAUACUUUCACUAGUGCAAAGUCUCUCAACAAUGAUAACGUAUUUGGAUCACAUAACAAUCCCUCAACGUGCAACAAAGAGUCACUCCAAAGUUCCUAUCGCGGAGAACAUAAGAUGAAAUUGUUUGUAGGGUACGAAACCACCUCAAAGUUAUUCCUUCCGAUAAAUCCAUUGAGCUAUUCCUAUAAGUUUCACAAACAAGCCUAGAGUUCGUAGUAAAAUAACAACAUAUGAUACACAUCAAUCAACCCUAAUGUCACCUAGAUACUCCAAUGUCACACUACAAGAAAUAUGUCAACUAGUGACCUUCUGUCAGUGACCCUGGAAGAAUUGGUCAUAAAUCUAUGACCAUUUGAGACCAAUUGGUCAAAACCUGUUCGGGGGGCUCCAAACCCUAAACCAUUGCGACCAUUUUGGUCAGAAAGAUCGAAAUUUCCUUACACGAAAUGGUCAUAAAGCAAACAGUGCUGGUCCGCUGCCUUAUUUCUAGUUGUUAACGACCAAUAUAGAUGGUCAUAGCCUUGUAGAUUGUGGUGGGUUGUGAUGACUAGGCGCCAUCUCAUCAGUUUUGCCUAUGUGUCAUGUCCAUGUGUCAAUUUUUGCACUAGGUUGUGAAGCAACCUAUAUUUUUGUUAUUCCAAAAAUUCCCGAAAAAUUCUCAUAAAUUGUUUGGAUCAUAUCUUCAUCAAAUAUGUCAAACACAUUCCUUGCCUAGUUCAAAAAUAACUCAACAAUAUUCAUUUUCCUAUUCUGUUCAGAGCAGCACUUUGUGAAGGAAGUAUCACUUUGGCAUGUCCAAAUGGUAUCCAUUUUCUACAGUGCUUUCCUAUGCCCAAAUAACCAUCCUCCACCAAAUGCCAGCUUAAUCCAUUCAUUAUUUUGAGCCCAACUUCAACAUUCGUAUUUAUGUCCAGUGUGGUACUUUACAAAGCAAGUACCACCUAGGCUCCUCCUUUUGAGGUGAAAAUGUGUGAAGACAGUCUUCUUAGUAACUAAUCAUCCUCAGCCAAAACUCAUGCCCAUUAGCCAUGUGCAUUUCCCGUACUGCAAAUCAAACACUUGGCUGCUUAUUCAUGUUUGAGCAUCGAUCGGUCUCCUCGUGAGAAUCUUAUGUUGUGAUUUUCUUCCUAGCACCUAUCUGGGGAGUUCCCAACCCACUAGACAUGCAUUGGCCGCCCAGAACACAUGGCAACGCCACGGUCACGUGGUGACCACGCGGCGGGCAUGCGAGCUUACGCGCUCUAGAGUUGGGGCCCUCGGCCAUCGUCCAAACCUCGAUGUCUCGCCAUAAAACCAUGUAUUUCUGAUUAAAUAGAUACUUAUUUACCUAGAAAUGAUUUUUGAAAAAAAUAAAGAGCAAACUAUGAGGCAGCUGCAGUUCAAAUUUGACCCGCUUCCAACUGAAUCUAUGGGAAUUUUUCUUUUUCACGAGAGGUGGAUCAAAACUUUUGACACCCAACCAUUUUGUCAAUUGUGCAUUAAAUAUGGCCUAGUAUUUUAUAAAAUUGAUUAGGUCCAAUUUUGCAACAAAUAUACGGUAGGUCUUUCACAAAAAAAGUCAUUUCAGGCACUCGGAAAAUGAAAAAUGUAUUUUCCGUGAAAAGAAUAUGAAAACUCCCUUAGGCAACAUUGUUUAGAAUUCCAAGAUGCACCCUUGUGCACAAUAUGAGAUCAUUUGAACAAACUAUGCCAUGAAUGUGGCCAUAAGAUUGAUCAUUUGGCUUGAAAGUCAUGAAUCUUCACACUUGAUAGCUCAUUUCUGAGAACACUUUUUAAAAUAAUUACCGUAUUACAAGUUCAUUAUUUUUCCUGGAAACUUGGUCACAUAUAAUGACACAAUGCGAAGGUUUUCCAAUUUUUUAUUUGAAAUUUUUAUGCCCGUUUCAAAAUGCAGUCAAAACGGCGGGCUUGACCGUUCCUAGCUAGUGGUUGAAUCUUGGAAAACUUUUGAUGUUUCUCUGAUUAAAUAGAUAAUUAUAUACCUAUAAAUGAUUUUUGGAAAACAUAAAGAUCAAAAUAUGAGGCAGCUGCAGUUCAAAUUUGACCCGCUUCCUACUGAAUCGGCGGUAAAUUUGUUUUUUUCACCAGAGGUGGAUCAAAACUUUUGAAACCCAACCAUUUUGUUAAUUGUGCAUUAAAUAUGGCCUAGUAUUUUAGAAAAUUGAUUACGUCCAAUUUUGCAACAAAUAUAUGGUAGGCCCUUCACAAAAAAAACUCAUUUCAAGCACUCGGAAAAUGGAAAAUGUAUUUUCUGUGCAAAGAAAAUGAAAACUUCCUUAGGCAACAUUGUUUGGAAUUCCAAGAUGCACCCUUGUGCACGAUAUGAGAUCAUUUGAACAAACUAUGCCAUGAAUGUGGCCAUAAGAUUGAUCAUUUGGCUUGAAAGCCAUGAAUCUUCACACAUGAUAGCUCGUUUCUGAGAACACUUUUUAAAAAUAAUUUCUGUAUUACAAGUUUAUUAUUUUUCCUCGAAACUUGGUCACAUAUAAUGACACAAUGCGAAGGUUUUCCAAUUUUUUGAUAUUUUUUGAAAUUUUUAUGCCCGUUUCAAAAUGCAGUCAAAACGGCGGGCUUGACCGUUCCUAGCUAGUGGUUGAAUCUUGGAAAACUUUUGAUGUUUCUCUGAUUAAAUAGAUAAUUAUAUACCUAGAAAUGAUUUUUGGAAAACAUAAAGAUCAAAAUAUGAGGCAGCUGCAGUUCAAAUUUGACCCGCUUCCUACUGAAUCGGCGGUAAAUUUGUUUUUUUCACCAGAGGUGGAUCAAAACUUUUAAAACCCAACCAUUUUGUUAAUUGUGCACUAAAUAUGGCCUAGUAUUUUAGAAAAUUGAUUACGUCCAAUUUUGCAACAAAUAUAUGGUAGGCCCUUCACAAAAAAAAAAC